AAUGCCUAGGAAUCUGCCUGGUAGUGGGGGAUAACGUUCGGAAACGGACGCUAAUACCGCAUACGUCCUACGGGAGAAAGCAGGGGACCUUCGGGCCUUGCGCUAUCAGAUGAGCCUAGGUCGGAUUAGCUAGUUGGUGAGGUAAUGGCUCACCAAGGCGACGAUCCGUAACUGGUCUGAGAGGAUGAUCAGUCACACUGGAACUGAGACACGGUCCAGACUCCUACGGGAGGCAGCAGUGGGGAAUAUUGGACAAUGGGCGAAAGCCUGAUCCAGCCAUGCCGCGUGUGUGAAGAAGGUCUUCGGAUUGUAAAGCACUUUAAGUUGGGAGGAAGGGUUGUAGAUUAAUACUCUGCAAUUUUGACGUUACCGACAGAAUAAGCACCGGCUGACUCUGUGCCAGCAGCCGCGGUAAUACAGAGGGUGCAAGCGUUAAUCGGAAUUACUGGGCGUAAAGCGCGCGUAGGUGGUUUGUUAAGUUGGAUGUGAAAUCCCCGGGCUCAACCUGGGAACUGCAUUCAAAACUGACUGACUAGAGUAUGGUAGAGGGUGGUGGAAUUUCCUGUGUAGCGGUGAAAUGCGUAGAUAUAGGAAGG
rnacentral:rRNA from 1 species